rnacentral:ncRNA from 2 species
CUCUUAUCCAGAGAGGUGGAGGGAAGUGCCCUAUGAAGCCCGGCAACCGUCAACAUUGUUGAAAAGGUGCCAAUUCACUCAAAGCUUGCAGCUUUGAAAGAUGAGAG